rnacentral:rRNA from 1 species
UACGUAGGGGGCUAGCGUUGUCCGGAUUUAUUGGGCGUAAAGAGCGUGUAGGCGGCCAGGUAGGUCUGCUGUGAAAACUCGAGGCUCAACCUCGAGACGUCGGCGGAAACUAUCUGGCUAGAGUCCGGAAGAGGAGAGUGGAAUUCCUGGUGUAGCGGUGAAAUGCGCAGAUAUCAGGAAGAACACCCGUGGCGAAGGCGGCUCUCUGGGACGGUACUGACGCUGAGACGCGAAAGCGUGGGGAGCGAACAGG